GUAGGUGAACCUGCGGAAGGAUCAUUACAAUUCAGUAGCUUGCUACUGAUCGGGAGGCGCUGUAAGCCCGCAUAGUUUAAUCACUGAUGAGCGGCAGGCCCUCUGUCUGUACCCUUGUCUUUUGCGCACUCAUGUUUCCUCGGCGGGCUUGCCCGCCGAUUGGACAACCCUAUAACCUUUUUAAUUUUCAAUCAGCGUCUGAAAAAACUUAAUAAUUACAACUUUCAACAACGGAUCUCUUGGUUCUG
rnacentral:misc_RNA from 1 species